UAACACAUGCAAGUCGAGCGGUAACAGAUCUAGCUUGCUAGAUGCUGACGAGCGGCGGACGGGUGAGUAACGCGUAGGAAUCUACCCAGUAGCGGGGGAUAAGCCAGAGAAAUUUGGUCUAAUACCGCAUACGCCCUUCGGGGGAAAGCAGGGGCUCUUCGGACCUUGCACUAUUGGAUGAGCCUGCGUGAGAUUAGCUAGUUGGUGAGGUAAUGGCUCACCAAGGCGACGAUCUCUAGCUGGUCUGAGAGGAUGAUCAGCCACACUGGGACUGAGACACGGCCCAGACUCCUACGGGAGGCAGCAGUGGGGAAUAUUGCACAAUGGGCGCAAGCCUGAUGCAGCCAUGCCGCGUGUGUGAAGAAGGCCUUAGGGUUGUAAAGCACUUUCAGUCGUGAGGAAAGGUGUGUGCUUAAUACGUACAUACUGUGACGUUAGCGACAGAAGAAGGACCGGCUAACUCCGUGCCAGCAGCCGCGGUAAUACGGAGGGUCCGAGCGUUAAUCGGAAUUACUGGGCGUAAAGCGCGCGUAGUGGAUUGGUCAGUCAGAUGUGAAAGCCCAGGGCUCAACCUUGGAACUGCAUCUGAUACUGCUAGUCUAGAAUACAGUAGAGGGUAGUGGAAUUUCCUGUGUAGCGGUGAAAUGCGUAGAUAUAGGAAGGAACACCAGUGGCGAAGGCGACUACCUGGACUGAUAUUGACACUGAGGUGCGAAAGCGUGGGGAGCAAACAGGAUUAGAUACCCUGGUAGUCCACGCCGUAAACGAUGUCUACUAGCCGUUGGAAGACUUGAUCUUUUAGUGGCGAAGCUAACGCGAUAAGUAGACCGCCUGGGGAGUACGGCCGCAAGGUUAAAACUCAAAUGAAUUGACGGGGGCCCGCACAAGCGGUGGAGCAUGUGGUUUAAUUCGACGCAACGCGAAGAACCUUACCAACUCUUGACAUCCAGAGAAGAGGCUAGAGAUAGCUUUGUGCCUUCGGGAACUCUGAGACAGGUGCUGCAUGGCUGUCGUCAGCUCGUGUUGUGAAAUGUUGGGUUAAGUCCCGUAACGAGCGCAACCCUUGUCCUUAUUUGCCAGCACGUAAUGGUGGGAACUCUAAGGAGACUGCCGGUGACAAACCGGAGGAAGGUGGGGACGACGUCAAGUCAUCAUGGCCCUUACGAGUUGGGCUACACACGUGCUACAAUGGCCGGUACAGAGGGCUGCAAACCUGCGAAGGUAAGCUAAUCUCACAAAACCGGUCGUAGUCCGGAUUGGAGUCUGCAACUCGACUCCAUGAAGUCGGAAUCGCUAGUAAUCGUGGAUCAGAAUGCCACGGUGAAUACGUUCCCGGGCCUUGUACACACCGCCCGUCACACCAUGGGAGUGGAUUGCACCAGAAGUAGCUAGCUUAACCUUCGGGAGGGCGGUUACCACGGUGUGGUUCAUGACUGGGGUG
rnacentral:rRNA from 1 species